rnacentral:misc_RNA from 1 species
UUUAUACACUUCAGCAGUUGUAACUGCUUAUCUAAUUAAUUCCAGCUGUUUGUUGACUUCUAUAACUGCCAACAGUUACUCUCCUUCAGUUACAGCAGUCUUUCCCUCCUUUUUACUCCUAAACUUCCUCCUAUAAUACCUAACAAACCUCUAUAUUAUGUUAAUAUAUCUGUAAAAUUAAAAAGAUUGGCUAAAAUUGAUAAUACCUUCAUUUUUUUAUCAUUUAGUAUCAAUUACAAUUGAAUUGCUAAAAUUAAAACCAAACUCCAGAGGUGAUAGAAUUGAUAAAAAUAGAAGUUUUGAGCUUUGACUAAAAUUUAUAAUUUGUGCAAAGGUUGUGGUUUUUUUAGGUCAUUCAUCCUUAUUAUAUUAAUGUAUUAUAUUUCUCCAGAAAAUAUUAGACUCAGUUAGCCAUAUAAGAUUACAUUUCCUCCAUUUUCCUAUCAUUCCUCACAUUCUACAUUUUAAGCGUGGAUUUCAAGUCUUUGAUAGUCUAAUAAAAUAGAAUAUGGUAAUCAUUGGUGUGUUCAGCAAACAAGAUGGUAG